UGCAUACAAAAAAGCGGAGGAAAAGAAACCAACAGGGAUUGCCUCAGUAGCGGCGAGUGAAGCGGCAAAAGCUCAAAAUUGAAAACUGGCGUCUUUGGCGUCCCAGUUGUAAAUUGAAGAAGGUAUCUUUGGGCCCCGCUCUUGUCUAUGUUCCUUGGAACAGGACGUCACAGAGGGUGAGAAACCCCUGCGAUGAGAUGGCCCCGGUCUAUGUAAAGUUCCUUCGACGAGUCGAGUUGUUUGGGAAAGCAGCUCUAAGUGGGUGGUAAAAUCCAUCUAAAGCUAAAAAUUGGCGAGAGACCCAUAGCGAACAAGUACAGUGAUGGAAAGAUGAAAAGAACUUUGAAAAGAGAGUGAAAAAGUACGUGAAAAUGUUGAAAGGGAAGGGCUUGAGAUCAGACUUGGUAUUUUGCAAGUUACUCUUUCGGGGGUGGCCUCUGCGGUUUACCCGGCCAGCAUCGGUUUGGAGCGGUAGGAUAAAGGCGGGGGAAUGUGGCACGACUUUGGUUGUGUGUUAUAGCCUCUGACGAUACUGCCAGCCUAGACCCAGGACUGCGGUUUUUACCUAGGAUGUUGGCAUAAAGAUCUUAAGUCGCCCCUCUUGAACCAACGGGACC
rnacentral:rRNA from 1 species